rnacentral:lncRNA from 1 species
GGAUGUGGGUGGAGUAGAAAAGUCAAAAAGGUGGGAUAGGAUUUCUGUAUUAAUUACUAGGUAAAAUUGUGUGUGUGUGUGUGUGUGUGUGUGUGUGUCUGUGUGUAAGACCUUGACUUAGGAAAGGUAAGUAUCUUUCUAAUUGUAAAAAACAGAGCAGAUAAUUUGAUGAACAAUUUUAAAAUUGACUUUUUCCUUUUUUUUUUUUUUUAACAGACUAGACCAAGCAGUAAAAACUGAAUUUUAAUUAUCUACUGGAAAUUCCUCCAGAAUAAAGGGUCUGGUUCAGUUUCUAUAUUGACUCUAUGGGUUCCAGUCUGUGAAAUGCCAAGGGUUGGACUGACUAGAAGUCUCCAGAUUACCUCUCUCUUCUUUCCACCCCUACUGCUUCUUGCCUACCAUAUGCCAUAGUGCCGGCCGGCAAAAUGUACCUGUUUAAUUCUCUAGGCUAUAACAAAAUAUAAUAAACUGGGUACCUUAGAAGCAACGGAAAUUGAUUUCUCAUCGUUCUAGAAGCUAGGAAGUUCACGAUCAAGGUAGCAGCAGAGUUGGUGCCUGGUAAGGACCCAUUUCCUGGUUCAUAGAUGAUGCCUUUUAGUGGUGACCUCAGAUGAUGGAAGAAGUGAAAGAGCUCAAUUGGGCCUCUUUUAUAAGGGAAAAAAUCCCAUUCCCUAGGGCUCUACCCUUAUGACUUAAUCACCUCCAAAAUGUCCCACCUCCCAACACCAUUACAUUGGCGACUAAGUUUCAACCUGUGAAUUUGGAGAGGACACAAAUAUUCAGACCAUAGCAAUCAAUGAGUACAGCUUUACCCGUUCAUGGGAAAUAUGUUGCAGAGCAAAAAUUGGGCCAGGUAAUUUGACUAAGGAUUGCAUCCUUCCCAUGCUUCUGAGCAGCCUUGCCUAGCCUCAGUCAGGGUCAGCAUGACCAUGCUUUUGUAGGCCAGACCUUCUCCUUUACCACAGCCACCUGAAG